rnacentral:rRNA from 1 species
UCGCCUGUUUAUCAAAAACAUANNNNCAAGUAAAUWUUUGUAGCAAUUUCUGCUCCAUGAUACGUUAAAUAGCCGCAGUACCCUGACUGUGCAAAGGUAGCAUAAUCAAUUGGCUUAUAAUUGAAGUCUAGAAUGAACGAAUAUAUUUGGUGGAUACUGUUUCUAUAGGAUGUAUAAAAAUUACUUAAAAAGUGAAAAUACUUUUUUAUAAAUAUUAGACGAGAAGACCCUGGAAAUUUCUUAUAAAUAUUUUGUUGGGGCGACAUAAUAACAAGAAACUUAUUUUAUUUUGACUAGAAAGUAAUGUUUUGAUAGAAUAAAUUACUCCAGGGAUAACAGCAUAAUUUUUUAAAAGUUUGUGACCUCGAUGUUGGACUAGGGUGGAAUGAUUGUUCAGAAGAUAAAUUUCCUAGUUCUGUUCGAACUAUUAAUCCCUACGUGAUCUGAGUUCAGACCGGA